GGGAAAGAAGCUACACCUAGCAAUUAGCUGUUACCUAAUGAAUAGCGAGUAACUCUCGCCUACCCUG
rnacentral:tRNA from 1 species